AUUGAACGCUGGCGGCAUGCCUUACACAUGCAAGUCGAACGGUAACAGGUUAAGCUGACGAGUGGCGAACGGGUGAGUAAUGUAUCGGAACGUGCCCAGUCGUGGGGGAUAACUGCUCGAAAGAGCAGCUAAUACCGCAUACGACCUGAGGGUGAAAGCGGGGGAUCGCAAGACCUCGCGCGAUUGGAGCGGCCGAUAUCAGAUUAGGUAGUUGGUGAGGUAAAGGCUCACCAAGCCGACGAUCUGUAGCUGGUCUGAGAGGACGACCAGCCACACUGGGACUGAGACACGGCCAAGACUCCUACGGGAGGCAGCAGUGGGGAAUUUUGGACAAUGGGCGCAAGCCUGAUCCAGCCAUGCCGCGUGCGGGAAGAAGGCCUUCGGGUUGUAAACCGCUUUUGUCAGGGAAGAAAAGGUUCUGGCUAAUACCUGGGACUCAUGACGGUACCUGAAGAAUAAGCACCGGCUAACUACGUG
rnacentral:rRNA from 1 species